rnacentral:rRNA from 1 species
UACGAAGGUCCCGAGCGUUAUCCGGAUUUAUUGGGUUUAAAGGGUGCGUAGGCGGGUUAUUAGUCAGUGGUGAAAGCCUUCAGCUUAACUGAAGAACUGCCAUUGAUACUGAUGAUCUUGAGUAUGAUUGAGGUGGGCGGAAUGUGUCAUGUAGCGGUGAAAUGCUUAGAUAUGACACAGAACACCGAUUGCGAAGGCAGCUCACUAAGCCAUAACUGACGCUGAUGCACGAAAGCGUGGGGAGCAAACAGG